UGUACCUUUUGUCAAGAUUAAAAAAAACUGUCACAAAUCGAUUGCUGUUUCAUUUGUCAUUAUUCUUUCUCGAGUAAGUCACUCAAUUCUCGAAACUUCAUCAUUAAUGUUAGAAUUUGUUAGGGGUUAGAUUUGGGCUUGCUUGGCCCAAAGCCCAAAUCCAAAUCAAAGGCCUAAGCAGAAUGUUAAGUCAAGAGGGUAGGCUCGUCAAAGCCCUAGAGGAGUGCCCUACACGCAGAGUACUAUAAAUACGGAAUAGCAUGUCCUGUCAAAAGGAUCUGGAUCCGGCUUGACACGCAGAGACAAAGAGCUCUCAUCCACUUGCCCGUCUCAAACAGCUCGUCAGCUUGCCCGUCUCAAACAGCUCGUCAACUUGCCCGUCUCGAACAGCUCGUCAGCUUGCCCGUCUCGAACAGCUCGUCAGCUUGCCCGUCUCGAACAGCUCGUCAGCUUGCCCGUCUCGAACAGCUCGUCAGCUUGUCCGUCUCAAACAGCUCGUCAGCUUGCCCGUCUCAAACAGCUCGCCAGUUCGCCCGAUCGAAGUAUCUCGUCCACUCGCCCGUCCCGAGUAGCUCGUUUACUUGUCCGUCCGAAGUGUCUCGCCGACUUGCCCGCCCGAAGUAACUUACCUACUCACACGUUUCAAGAAGCUGCUCAGCUCAUCACCUUCCCGCCGGAUCGUCUCGAAACUGCCUAACUCAACAUACGACAUACCUUCAGUAAUGGCCUAGCUCGUUUAUUACGAUAUAAACUACGUAUGGCUUGAUCCCUUUCAAAGGGUACGUAGGCAGCUUUUUACAAGGUUCAGCUAUAAAACGAAUAAACUCUAUUCUUCCUCGGACAUCAAGAUCGUCUUCCGGCCUCAAGCUCGCCUUUCAUCUACAAUCGGCUCGUUCAUACUCCGUCUAUACUCGUUAAAGAGAUCAUCCUUUGUAAUCCGUCCAAUUUGCCUAAUCGCGGGCUCGUUAUUAAAAGAAAGAUUUUUCUUCUUUCCCUAGAGAUCCCAAUUUCUUACUUGUGUGAUUCGUGCAUCAACAGAAUUUGCACAUGUUCUUUUUUAUAAUCCUAAGAUUUUAUGUAAUAUACGAUUGUUCUUACAUUUUUCGUUUCAGCUAUGUUAAACUAUCAACCAUUUCAUGCUCCUAUUACAAAAAUAAAACAUGCU
rnacentral:sRNA from 1 species